AAGGGCGUACGGGGGAUGCCCGGGCAUCAGGACGCGAUGAAGGACGUGGCUUUCUGCGAUAAGCAACGGGGAGUUGUAAGCAAGCAUUGAUCCGUUGAUUUCCGAAUGGGGCAACCCUCUUGGUGAAUAACCGAGAACGCAAACGCGAGCAAAG
rnacentral:sRNA from 1 species